rnacentral:lncRNA from 1 species
AAGGCAGAUCCACCCUUAAUCUUGGCACAAUCUAAUCAGCUGCCAGUGAAUAGAAAGCAGGCAGAAAAACGUGAAAAGGAGAGACGAGCCUAGUCUCCCAGCCUACAUCUUUCUCUUAUGCUGCAUGCUUCCUGCCCUCGAACACUGGACUCCAAGUUUUUCAGUUUUGGAACUCGGACUGGCUCUCCUUGCUUCUCAGCUUGCAGAAAGCCUAUUGCGGGACCUUGUAAUCAUGUUAACAAGAAUCAAAUAACAAGCAACAGCUCUCUACUCCUGGGGGAAAGGCGAAACUUGGUGAGAGAACUUCUAAGUGUUGCAGGCACACAGAGAAGGCCAAAUGUUGAGAAUAAAACAAGGGCAUUGAGAAAAUCUGUCAUCAUCCUAAGCACAAGGAAGAAGCAGAUGACGCACUCAAGGGGAUAAUGUUUUUAAUGUAACGAAUGGAACAAAAGAAUUAUUGCAGAGGUGAGGUCAAGGUGAAAGGAACCAAAGAGGACAUGAUGAAGCACCCAGAUCCAGCAAGAAUAGAAAGUCAUUACCUCUCCUUUGCUUGACAUGACAAAUAAAAAAAAAAAAAGACACAUAAUACCAGAACAUGAUAAGAAGUAAGAGCUAUGAUCACAGCAGAAGGGUCACUCAACAACAUCUGAAAUUAUAAGGAGAAGGAUAUACCUACUGCCAAGACCUAGCAGGAAGAUAAAAGGGGAGAAUACUUGGGCUACUUUUUCUAUUCAAACAACAAUUUCAUAGCUACUGCCAAGGCCUAGCAGGAAGAUAAAAGGGGAAAAUACUCUGGCUACUUUUUCCAUUCAAACAGCAAUCUCCCUCCUCCUCUCCCUCCUCUGUCUAGAAAUCCCCAGUGUCUCUUGUUUCCAUCUUUAUAUUUAUGUGUAUGCAUGUUUAGCUCCCGCUUGCAAGUAAGGAAAAACAUCCAUUGGGUAUUAUGCUCACUACGUGGGGGAUAGGAUCAUUUGUAUCCCAAACUUCAGUGUCACACAAUAUACCUACAAACCUGCACAUAUACCCUUUAAUCUAUAAUAAAAGUUGAAAUUAUUAAAAAAUGAAGUAAGUCACACAUUUUUUGGGUUCCCCAGUGCAUGUAAAAGUUACACUAUAUUUUAGUCCAUUAAGCAUGUAAUAACACUGUCUAAAAUACAAUGCAGUUAACUUUAAUUUAAAAUACUGUAUUGCUAAAAAAAAAAAAAAAGAGAGAGAACAAUUUCCUGCCAGCAUCUCCAAUUAACUGGACCCACCUAAAAUCUAGAGGGGGAAGGAGCUGGUUUGAAGCAGUGUGUAGAGAUAUACCUUCCUGGGCAAGGAGCAGGAAAAAAAUGGAAGAAAAGAUCUAAUGAACAAGCAAAAUAAUCAAGAGAAUCACUAUUAUUAAUGGAUUCUUUUCAGGCAGCUGAAUGCAAUUCAAACUGACAUAUCCUAACUGGCACAGUGGGAUAAACACAAUGCUAAAGGUAUGGUCAAAUUGUUGAGAGGGCAAAGGAAUCAGUUACUCACUCUGCCAAUUUGUGUUGGAGAAUGUUCUAGAGAGAAACAAUAUAUAAAAACUUGAUACUGAAAGGAGAAAAAUAACCUGAACAGAAAGACAAUCAGGUGAUUAUUAAUAAAUAAUUUAGUUUGCCUUGAACAUAGAAUUAUUAUAAUAAAGGACUAUUUAGAAAGGGGCAGCAUCACAGGCUUUGUGACUGAAAAGGUAUGUUGAAAUUAGAGUUUAAUGAAUUUUCUAUUUUUUUCUUAGUAUUAAGGGGAAUGAAUAAGAGGGUAGAGAGACCAGACACUAUGAGAUAUUGUGAUAAUGUAGGAUGUAGUAAGCAUGAUCUCCAGCAAAUGGAGCAUUCUGAUUCCUGAAAAUAUGUAAAAUUAAACUUAUUUUAUUUAUUUUUAUAUUCAUGCAUAUAGUGUAGUUUCUGUCACAUGGUAGGUACCUAAAUUAUAAUUGGAACAGGUAUUAGUCCACGUUUUGUGGGGUAUGUAUAUAAGUUAGGAAAAUAUGUUUAGAAAAACAGAAUACAAAUUAUGAAAACAUUAGAUAUCUGGCUUUAGAGGAGGUUAUGCAAUUAAGUGGCCUGAAGUUUAAGCCUCAUUAGCUUCACAGUAAAUCUGCCUCUGCUCCGGAUUAAAUAAAUGGACACUGUCACAUGCAUAGGCAAGUAGAAUAGAAGUAAAUUAUAUAAUAGAUAAAAAAUACUGUUUAAGCAAAAGAAGCAUCUGAUACUUUCAUUAUUAGGGUAGAGGGAGGGGUAAGAAAUAAUUUUUGAAAUGUUAGGUAAAUGGUAGGCUGUUACAUACUUCAAUUAUUCCAAAAAUAUUUAUGAGUGUAUGUAAUGUACCAGGCAUUAAGCUAGAGCAUACAGAGGGAAAAGAUAUGGUCAAUAAUUUAUGAAUAUCACAUAAGAAUGAGAGAAACAAGUAACUAUAGGUUACAUGCUGUGGUUGAUAAAUGAAAAUGGUGCUAGAAUGAUACAGAGAAGGAUUAUCUACAUUAGUCUUGGUUCUUUAUGGUUGAAAGCAUGACAUAAUAUUAAAUGGGAGAUGUAAGCCAGAGCACUAUCAUUAGGGAACUCAUGUGCUCACAUUUUUGUUUUGAAAAAAUCUCUAGCUGCACAAGAGAGGAUAGAUCAAUGAUAGUAUAAAUGAGGAAACUACUGCAGCAAAUGGUUAUGGGUGGUGUAGGUAAAGAUUAAUAUACAUAACUAAAAUAUGAAAAAUGGGUAUUGCCGAAAGGGAGAAAAUUUUAGUGGAAUCAACAGAACUUAAUGUAGUUUUGUUGUGUUUUGUUUUUAAAUAUAUUUUUUAAAUUUUAAAUUUUUAAUUUUUGUGGGUCCAUAGUAGAUAUAUAUAUAUAUUUAUGGUGUACAAGAGAUAUUUUGGUACAGGCAUAUAAUGCAUAAUAAUCACAUUAGGGUAAAUGGGAUAUCUGUAACCUCAAACAUUUAUUCUUUAUUUGUAUUGCAAGCAAUCCUCUUUUAGUUAUUUUAAAAUGUAUAAUAAACCAUAGUUGACUGUAGUUACUCUGUUGUGCUAUCAAAUACUAGAUCUUUAUUCUAUCUAACUACAUUUUUGUACUCAUUACUACCCUCUUCCUCCCCACUAUCUACUACUCUUCCUAGCCUCUAGUAAUCAUCAUUCUACUCUCUAUACCCAUGAGUUCAAUUUUUUAAAUGUUUCCAACCUUAAAUAAGUAAGAACCUGCAAAAUUUGUCUUUCUGUGCCUGGUUUACUUCCCUUAACAUAAUGACUUUCGGUUCCAUCCAUGUUGUGGCAAAUGACAGGAGCUCAUUAUUUGUUAUGGCUGACUAAUACUCCACUGCGUAUAGGCACCACAUUUUUUUAUCCUCUGUUGAUGGACACAGAUUGCUUCCAAAUCUUUGCUAUUGUGAAUAGUGCUACCAAAAAAAAAAAACACGAAAAUGCAGAUAUGUCUUCAAUAUACUGAUUUCCUUUUUUUGGGGGGGUUGUAUACCCAGCAGUAGAAUUGCUGGACUAUACGGUAUCUCUAUUUUUAGUCUUUUGAGGAACCUCCAAACUAUUCUCCCUAGUGGCUGUACUAAUUUACAUUCACAGCAAAAGUGUACUAGGCUUCUCAUUUGACAGAAUUUAAUUUUGGAUUAAACAAUUAUAUGACUGGAAGAGAAACAUGAAGGAAUACUGUAUUAGUCCAUUUUCACACUGCUGAUAAAGACAUAACCAAGACUGGGUAAUUUAUACAAGAAAAAAGGUUUAUUGGACUUACAGUUCCACAUGGCUGGGGAGGCCUCACAAUCAUGGCAGAAGGCAAGUAGGAGCAAGUCACAUCUUACAUGGAUGGCAGCAGGCAAAGAGGGAGCUUGUGCAGAAAAACUCCCAUUUUUAAAACCAUCAUAUCUCACGAGACUUACGCACCAUCAAGAGAACAGCAUGGGAAAGACCUGCCCAUGAUUCAAUCACCUUCCACCAGCUCCCUUUCACAGCAUUAGGGAAUUAUAGGAGCUACAAGAUGAGAUUUAGGCUCAACACCAUGUUUAUUCUGCCAAGAUUGAGGCUUACACCCUCUGAAUCCAUGGCCAGAGCUUGACAUUGGCCCCUUUCAGCGAUGACUGGAGUGGCUGGGACACAGGGCACCAAGUCCCUAGGCUGCACACACAACGGGAUCCCUGAGCCCAGCCCAUGAAACCACUUUUUCUUCCUAGGCCUCUGGGCCUGUGAUGGGAGGGGCUGCCAUGAAGACCUCUAACAUUCCCUGGGGACAUUUUCCUCAUUGUCUUGGGAUUAACAUUUGGCUCCUCAUAACUUAUGCAAUUUCUGCAGCUGGCUUGAAUUUCUCCUCAGAAAAUUGGAUUUUCUUUUCUAUUGCAUUUUCAGGCUGCAAAUUUUCUGAACUUUUAUGCUGUUUCUCUUUUAAAACUGAAUGCCUUUAACAGCACCCAAGUGACUUUUUCAACGUUUUGCUGCUUAGAAGUUUCUUCUACUAGAUACCCUAAAUCAUCUCUCUCAAGUUCAAAGUUUCACAAAUCUCUAGGGAAGAAGCAAAAGGCUGCCAGUCUCCUUGGUAAAACAUAGCAAAAGGCACUUUUACUCCAGUUUCCAACAAGUUCUUCAUCUCCAUCUGUGACCACCUCAGCCUGGAUUUCAUUGUCCUUAUCACUAUCAACAUUUUGUUAAAAGCUUCAACAAGUCUCUGGGAAGUUACAAAUUUUCCCACAUUAUCCUGUAUUCUUCUGGGUCUUCCAACUGUUCCAACCUCUUCCUGUUACUCAGUUCCCAAAUAGCUUCCACAUAUUUGGGUAUAUUUAUAGAAGCACCCUACUCUACUGGUACCAAUGUACUGUAUUAGUCGGUUUUCACACUGCUGAUAAAGACAUACCUGAGACUGGGUAAUUAAUAAAGGAAAAAGGGUUUAUUGGACUUACAGUCCCACAUGACUGCAGAGGCCCCACAAUCAUGGUGGAAGGCAAGGAGGAGCAAAUCACAUCUUAUGGGGAUGGCAGCAGGCAAAGAGGGUUUGUGCUGAGAAACUUCUGUUUUUAAAACAAUUAUAUCUCAUAACACCCAUUGACUAUCACAAGAAAAGCAUUGGAAAGACCCAACCCCAUCAUUCAGUCAUCUCCCACCAGGUCCCUUCCACAACAUAUGGGAAUUAUAGGAGCUACACGAUGACAUUUAGGUGGAGACACAGAGCCAAGCCAUAUCAAAUACCAAGUGGGUACUCUGUUUUUAUGAUUGACUGGGUGUUUUAUGGUGCCUUUAACCAAAGUACAGAAUGUAGAAUGAAGAUAAGAUUGUGGAUAAAUAUUAAUGAGUUUGAGUUGAGAUAUAUAUGCUGUAUCUGAUCUUCCUGUAAGAUAUUAGAGUAAAGAUAAUCUGUAGGCAAUCAAAUAUAUGAAUGUGCAGCUCAUCAGCAAGGUGUCAGUCCAAGAUAGAGAUUUGGGUAAUGGGUCUACACAUGGCAGUUGUACCUAUGAGCAUGAGAGAGAUCACUGAGCAAAAGAAAGAUUACCCUCGGCUAUAAGUAAGAAAAUCUGAUAACAAUGGCUUAAACAUAAUAAUGUUGAUUUGUUUUUACAAUAAAGUUUAGAGUGAUUCAUUCCAGAGUUUGUUUGACAACACUAAUCAACAAAGUCUCCAGUAAUCCAGUGUUUCAAUUUAUCUGGCUCUGUAACAAAAUUAUUACAAAAUGUAUUGGUAUAAAUCAAAAAUUUAUUAUGUUCAGAUUGUGAAGGCAAGAUAUUUGGAUAGUCACAGUGGGGACAAUUUUUCUCUACUCCACAAAGUUGGGGAAGUUAACUGAAGGAUUCAAAGGCUGGGGGCUGGAUUCACAUAAAUGUGAUUUGGAUUUCAUCUAAACAUCUCUUGAUGUUCUUUCAUGUGUGCUUUGUCACAGUAUGGCAGCCCAGUCCCAGGACUAAAAGAAACCCAGAAGCUUUCUUUCCCUUUAUGGCCUACCCUCCAAAGUCUUGCAGUGUCACUUGUGCCACACUUUAUUCAUCAAGGCCAUCAAAAAAUUUGACCCCGGUUCCAGUGGAAAGGAAAUCAUUUUGCCUCUUUAGGGGGAGUAACGAUUGUCACAGGCAAUAGGUUCUGGAACAGUAUUUGAGAUCUGAAAUCUUGCUGUAUCCUUUUUGAAAAAUACAAUUUUUUAUAGCCUGGAUUCUUCCAAUGUAAUCAUUUAUCAUCUGUAUGGUGUGAUCCUUAUCCCCAUUGUGCAAAGUUUCCUCUUUGCUACAGGUAUUAGGAUCCAGAAAGGAUGUAGCUAGGGCUCUCCUAAAAAAGUUCCCAGAAGUCUACACAGAAAAGAUGCAUUUAUAUCCCACUGGCCACAAGGUAGUCAUAUCUUCAAAUCUAGCUUCAGGAAAAGUGGGGAAAUGUGUUAUUCUGGGUGACCAUUUUCAAUAGCUAAAAAGUAAAAUAUAUGGAAAGAUAAUCAAUUAGCAAUCUCUAGAAUAAAUCUCGAGUGUAAAAUUAAUAACUAUAUGAAAGUUGCUUUGCUACCACAUAUAAUUUCAAAAAAAUGCUACACUUUCAAGAUAGUUACAUUCAAAAAUAGCUUUAGCUUUUAUUUUGAUAAGAAAUCAAUUCUUUACAGACAUAUAGCUUCUAUUAUAAUGUGUAGACUCAUGAAAAUUAUGAUAUUCAUCAUUUUAAAACAAAUUAUUCUUCAGAAUGUCAAAUUUACUGUCUGUUAACUUGACUUCCCUGCUUCAGAAUCCUGCUUAUUUGGUUUGUUUGACGUUGAGUCAAAUCAGUAUCAAAGUGAGGAUUGUUGACAGCAGCAUAGGUCAAUUUUGAAAAAUCAAUUUGAAAUGAAUAGAUUAAAAAGAGAAGUUUACUGUCAAAUAUUUUUUACUCAGGCUUAGCAUUGCCAUCAUUGAUUCCAAUGAGAACUAAAAGCACUAUGCUCUUUUCCAUAUAAAACAUUUAAAUUGCAGAUUUCUGAACAUUCAAAAAAGGUAUAAUAUAAUGGAAUAAUAAAACAGACUCACAUCCCCCAGCAUUGAAAAUGAUGGACAAGAUCAUACUGAGACACAUGGCUGACUCUGUUUUCACUUCUACACUCUUAUUCUAUUUGUGUCCCUAGGAACCCUAUUUCCUUAAGCUGUUAAUAUGGAACACUACAAAAUAGAAACUGAAGUUACAUAUUUUUGAUAUUGCAGGAUUUCUUUUUUUUU